UCAGAAGGAAAGGAAUCAAACCUUUUAUCCACCAACUCCCAAAGCUGGGCAUUUUAAUUAAAA
rnacentral:tRNA from 1 species